rnacentral:ncRNA from 3 species
GGCAAUAACAGGUCUGUGAUGCCC